ensembl:lincRNA Cep83os centrosomal protein 83, opposite strand
GUCCUACGUCAUCAGCACCGCGCGCCGCCCAAGGUCCGAGCCGUUGGUGAGAGGAGCGGGCUGACGGUUACGCGGGUAGCUGUUGCCGCUGUGGGGGAAAAAAAAAAGUGAGGAUGCCACUCUGGGACGUCCCUGUGGGCCGCACCGAAGCCCGCGAGCCCGGGGAACGGCAGAUGUCACCUCACGCCCGACUCCCGGUGGGCUGAGGGACUCUGUGCCCUUGUCACACUUCCUUCUCGGAGGGCUUGGACGGUGCUCUUCGCCGCCACCUCUGUUCCCGCCCGCCUUGUCAUCGUGCCUGCUGGGCGGAUUUUCCGGGCUCUGGCACCCAGUCAGCCUGUGAGUGCGGAGUCGCCCCCAGCUUGCCACCAGGGAAGUCAGAUGAUGCUGUCUUCUGUUGGUUACUUCAUAGCACUUCCAUUUUCAAAGAACAUCUUCCUGAGAAUAAACUUGGAAAGUAAUGUGACCACAAAACAUCAUAUUCACAGAGUUCAAAGGGAUAUUGGAUACAGAAUAAGAAAAUAUGAGAGAUUAAAACUCAGGAGUUGAGUUCUAGCCUGGAAAACAAGAUGAGAGAACUUUCCAGCCUGCACCAAUGUUCACAGUUCUGAUUGAAUUACAAAAUUUUUCUUCUUUUGAACUCAGAAGUCACUUGGAAACUUUGAGGGAAGUUUCACCACAUCCUUUAAGCCUUUCUUCUGGUUAGCAGGGGAGAUCCAUUAGAACUUAGAGAAAUAUCCCAGCCUCCAGUAUCAGUAGCCUUGCCAGCCUACCCCUAGGAUGCCUGGCCAGGCUUCAUUGUCAGUGUGGUUCACGGUCACAGUUUUACCUUCAGCUAGCCAUAUUUUCCUGGAUGGUCUUAAACUAUUUGCUGAGUUUGGGUUUUUUGUUUUGUCUUAUUGGAUUUUGUUUGUUUGGUUUGUUUGUUUGUUUUGCAGAGAGUUUUCAGACUUUCUGUUAGGUAAAUUUUAAAUUACCAUUAAGAAAUGCUUUCCAAGUUGUGCAUUGCCAAGUAACUGCUUCUCACUAUUCUAGUUUCGUUGGAAUUUUGGUAUUUUUAUUUUGUGUCUUGAUCUUUGGACACGAACCACACCAUUAUUAGUUUCUACUAGAGAUAUUUGUGUGUGUGGCAUGUGUACUUGAUCAUGUGUAUGUCUGCACAUAACGUGCACAUAGGUGUAGAGGACAGAGGUUGACUUUGGGUGUUUUCCUCCAUCACUCUUCCUCCUUAGGUUUUCACCGAAGGUCUCUCACUGAACCUGUGAUUCAUCAGUUCAGACAGGCUGGCUAGCCAGCAAGUUUCCAAGAUCUACAUGUCUGCCCUCUCAGGCCUGGGGUUAUCAGCCAUAUUAGAUGAGCACUUUACUAACUGAAUCAUCUACUACACCCUGUGGAAACAAUGUAUCCAGGGGAUUUUUAUCUGGGGCUUUCUUAUUCAUCUACUUUAUCUUCUUUCUAAGUAUCCUUUCCUGGCAUUUGUUACAUCACAGGCUUUUGUAUCUGUAUUUCUUGACUCCUUCCUAGUUAUUUCAGUCCUGCUUUCCCUUUUUUGUUAUCUUAGCCGGGACUCUUAAAGCGUGUGUGGGCAGCUGCUCCUCUGUGGCCUUUAUGGGCCUCUCCUCUUGAGAAAGUACUUUAUUAAGGCAAACCGCAGCUCCUGUCAGUCAGUCAGUUUCAGGGCUACAAGUACUACUUAUCAUUCUCCUCCAUAGUCAAUGCAAGUUCUAUGUCCCUUAGGUUGUUUCUUCCAUAAGCCUAAGGGCUUUGCUUGUAUGACCCAAAUCCUCAUUCCUGAAUUUAAAAAAAAAAAAUGUGUAUCAGUAAUUAUUUAUAUCUUACUCUGGAAUUGCUGCACAUAUCCUUCCAAAUUACAAUUUGGAAUCAAAAUGUUCCCAGAUCAGUUACCUAUAUGUUUUUCUCUGCCUACCAUCAUUUUGGUUUCCUAUUGCUCUAGCUCAGUUACCACUGCCAACAUGGGAAAUCCUUGCCUGCUCAUACCUGGAUCCAGAGUUCAAAAUCAAAAUGGCUCUAACAUAGUCUAGUGGGACUCUUAUUGUGUCUCCUGGCAGAAAUGCAUCCCAUUUGGAAGCCAGGACUUUUAUACCUUCAGUGUACAGAGUUAUGGGGACUGGAAAGUGUUCCCUAACAAGUCAGUAGGACUGGUGUUCAGUGGGGUCAUUUCUGCUUUCUCUGUUUUGUUCUUGGAACCAUGUGUUUGUUCUUAGUAGGGAUAAUAAUCCAAGCCAGUGUAUGUACUACUUCCUGAAGGAUGGCAUUUAAUCCUUAUGAAACCCUGCUUCUGAACUGGCACUUCAGUUAUACCAUUAUUACAUUGAAAGCAAACAUUAAACAGCUAGGUCAGAAACACUGAGGAAGGUAAAUAAGAAGGCUUGCACUUGGCUAUGAAAUAGCCAAGCUGAGCAGGUAAGAGAAGAGGCAGAACUCUGGGCUGUUUCAGCAGGGCCCAGGAGCCCCACCCUCUCCUGCAGCAACAUGUGCAAGGUAUUGUUGCCCUUUCCCUUAGUAAACAUCUAAAAUUUACAGGUAGUUAACCCUCAUGGAUAACCAUGCAUCUAAUUGUAACAGACUGAAUUGUGGGUAAUGGCUUCUGAGAAAGCCUGCACCUUUUUUAGGAGGGCGACCUCUCCAGACUGCCCCAGGGAUAGACAAAGGAGAACUGGUGGGCAAAGUCCAGACGCUAGAGGCAUUCCUUGGCCAUUGCCACUUGGCUCACAGUACCCUCCCAUCUUGCCUUUGCCUUCCCACCUGCUACAGUAAACCUCAAGAACUUGUUUGCCCUACCUGUCCCCUAAUGUGAAUCUCUUUACUUGAGAUUGGAGGACAUGUGGGAGGAGACAUCUCUAACACCCUCAGUAGGUUGCCUGGUGAUCGAUCUGUCAAACUGAAUGACCCUGUUGAUUCCCUGGUCAUGAAUUCACAUGUUAUCUUUUUACUGUGAAGUAGGUCCCGUUUGCAUGCUGUUGAAUUGGAUCCCAUACCUGUGGUUCAGGCAUUCUUUAAGGAACUAAGUCAUGAUAAUAUAGGCCAAGGCACUGAAAGGCAUAACAACAAGUCCAUACCCAGAAUUCACCCCUGUUGGGAUAGACCACUAGCUACUCCAAAAUGGAAAGAGUCCAUGUUAUUGACCAGGUAUCUGAUUUGUCUUGAGUAAUACUGCAGUAUUGAGAACACAGUGUAGUCCUCUGCUCCUAUCAGGUUCCUUAGAAACAGGUGUAGAUAUGGAUUGGCUUUUGUAGCUGGGAAUUUAUGUUGUGACUCACAUAUAGCCUCCUGUGCAAACAUGACAACUCAUGUGUUGUCUUAGUGACAGUUCUAGAGUAGGCCAUGACAAACACUUGCUUAACACCAACUGAUAGAAUCCUUUGUCAGUAUGAAUUUUUCUGUUUCUCUUUCAUGAUGGAUGUUCUAGUCAGAAUGAACCUGUCAUUAGCCGCUAAGCAAGACAGGCACCAUCAGGGACAGAAUCCUAGGUUGAUGCACCUUCAGGGUAUCCUUUCUUUAUUUGCAGCUAAGGCUCUAUGGCUUAAGAGCAUUCCUUGGGGCGUGUCUACUCAUUAGUUUUUGCUCUGCAAGCUCCAGAAUGUGUCUACUAUAGCCUCUUUUAAAACUAUGACCUUAAACUGAAUCUGCUCAGGGAUGUACUCCUUAACUAAGCCUGCCCCUUGCUCAGUCCUGGGCCAAUCCUUACGUGAAUGUGUAUAGGCUCUCGGAAUACAAUUCCCAUGCUUGCUUUAUUGGAAGAUGUUUGGAAAGAACACCUGUGUUCGCCCUUAUCUAUUGCAAGUAAUCUUUCUCUACUCUUUUUAUAUAUUGACUGUGAUUAUUUUGGCUUGCACUCAAUGAUAUGUGACCCCAUUAUAUUUGACUACAAUAUAAUAAAAAAGAUCCUCACUCCAUGUGACCACAUAUCUCCAUUUCUAUACCUCUCUUCCUUACCUCAUUGUCUCUGACCUUCCAGUCUUCUCUGCUGAGAAAGUCUAUACAGGAUGAUCAUGCCAUCAAACACUUGAAACUAACAACAGUAACAAUGAGAAACUGAAGUGGAAAUUUAAGGGCUCUUUGGAAAGUCAUCUGUGUUGAUGGUGUUUUGCUGGGGCAGACACGUGCAGUACCAU